GUGACCCCAGGAUGAGCGAGGCCACCCGCUGAGUUUAAG
rnacentral:rRNA from 2 species